rnacentral:tRNA from 1 species
GGGAAAGUGGCUCAAUGGUAGAGUGUUUGCCUUGCAUGCAUGAGGCCCUGGGUUCAAUUCCUCAGUACCA